ensembl:lncRNA
CUCUUUCCUGUUUCUCAGUGUGCUGUGCACAGCGACUGUAUUUAUAAAACCAUGGUCUCUUACCAUACCCAUAGCAGUGGUCAACGUGUACUGAUGAGUACUAAGCGAAAAGCUUCUGUGCUAUGUUAUUCAUGGCGUGUGCCAGGGAAAUACCUACACAAGUGAAUGCAAUACCAUGCAUCUGCACUGAAUUACCUCGGCAAUGUAUGACUCUGCAAAUGAAAAAACUGAUGUACUGAUCAGCUUUAGUCAGCUACUAUAGCUCAGGACACCCAGCAGUAAACAGCAGAGGACCCAGAGGAGAGCAAGCAAAGCUGAAUUAGGAGCAGUUUGAGCAUCUCCAGUUCCUGAAAGUUAUGGAUGCUCAAGACAUUCUGAAUUUAACUUAAUGAGAUUAGUCUUUUGCUUGAAUUCACUAAUCCGCAGUGACUACAAUAUAAAAUCUUGCAAUUCUGUUACAACAUACCACCUACUUGCUCUUUCUUGGCCUCACAAAUUGUUUCUCUGAGGGGCUGCUACGAAAGAAGAAUAUACUUUUAUACCAGGAACUACCAUUUAAGUUAUCUCCUUCCAUCCAUAAUGCUGUUUUACAGACUGAAAUAAGAAGAGCUGGUACUGUUAAAGGAGCUCUCUCAAUCCUUUUUACUGGUGUUUUCCUGGAAAAAAAAAGUCACAGUGUUUGUUUGUUUUACAGUAUAUUUUGUUUUAGUUUUACUUGUGUUCAGCAAAGAUUAUUGACACUGAAAAGUGAAAGCCUGAGAAGAAAUGGAGGAGCCCAGAAAAAAUACUGGAAAGAAAGAGAAAGAAGGAUUGAAAGAAAGUCAAGAGAGAAGUACGCUAAGAAGCUGAGGUAAACAGAAGUGUUAUCAGUGCAUUGAUACAGAUGUGAAUUAUUGACACAACACCUUUCCUUCUCUCAAAAAUACCCUCAAACGUUCCUCUAAAUGAACACACUCAACCACUGAAAUAUUAGAAGUUAUCAUAAGUAAUAAUUAAUGUUACUUUUCCGAUGCAUCAUCCCUGGUGUCUGAGCUGUAUUAUAUGUUCUUUAUUUACACCUCAUUUUGCUAAUUUCUGUUACAAAUUCAGUAUCUCAUCUAAUGUAUUGAAUGGAAUAAUGUUCACAAGAUGAUUGCUAUUCCAUAAUUUUAUUCAGGAUGAUGAAAUGACUAGAUU